UUUUGUCCAAGGAUAGAACUUAGCUCGGUGUGCAGACAUAUGCCAACAACUUAAAAACCCAGCUAAGCUAAGGAUUGCCUGUGUAAAUCUUAAUUAUGAAAGUGGCUUUCGUGUAUAUAUUACCAUCCAGACAAAUAUAAAAAUUAAAACCAGAAGAAAUCAUCUCUUGACACUAACAAUAAUCAACCAGAAAUUGGAUGAUUUGGUUUUGACAUAUAUUGCUUGGCUGGACCUUACCUUGUCCCGUGGAGAAAUUAUUAGGUGGGUCAAGUCCACCAUGGACUUAGAUUGAAAAAAAGCUAACUAGAGAUGAUUUUACUCUAGAUUCACGGUGAACCUCGUCCGCCUAAUAAUUCUCCAUCCAGCGACAUCAUGCCUUCAACAUGGCUUAUGCUAACUUGGGCCCUCAUAUUUCCCACUUUUGUGGAAAGAGUAAGCUCACACCAGACACCACAUUCUACUUACCUUUAUUCCCCAUGGGUCCACACGUAGUUACCAAUUGCUUUAGCUUUUUAGCUAUAUACCAUUCCCUUGGAAUGUUUAUGAUAUGAUUCCACAGAUGGCCAACCGUUGACUGGACUGAUCAGAGCAGAGUCUAUGUUCUCAUCCUCCAAUACAAACUUGAAAUGUCUCGGAGCCCAAUUCUGAGUCCAAAAGUUCUGUCAUAAAGGGCUGGCAUGCAACGUGGAACAAAGGAAUUGGAAUUUUAUAUCACAACCCAAAUGUGUAUCACACUGAUCCCAUGUAUCACACCAAUCUGCAUGUGACACAUGG
rnacentral:lncRNA from 1 species